rfam:Dengue virus type 2 strain DakHD10674 3' non-coding region, partial sequence.
UGGGGGCCCAAGGUGUGUUGAAGCUGUAGCCACACUGGAAGGACUAGAGGUUAGAGGAGACCCCCCCAGACAA